rnacentral:rRNA from 1 species
GACGAACGCUGGCGGCGUGCUUAACACAUGCAAGUCGAACAGUAAGGCCCUUCGGGGUACACGAGUGGCGAACGGGUGAGUAACACGUGGGUGAUCUGCCCUGCACUUCGGGAUAAGCCUGGGAAACUGGGUCUAAUACCGGAUAGGACCACUGCCUGCAUGGGUGGUGGUGGAAAGCUUUUGCGGUGUGGGAUGGGCCCGCGGCCUAUCAGCGUGUUGGUGGGGGGAUGGCCUACCAAGGCGACGAGGGGUAGCCGGCCUGAGAGGGUGACCGGCCACACUGGGAUGGGGAAACGGCCAGACUCCUACGGGAGGCAGCAGUGGGGAAUAUUGCACAAUGGGCGCAAGCCUGAUGCAGCGACGCCGCGUGAGGGAUGACGGCCUUCGGGUUGUAAACCUCUUUCAGCACCGGCGAAGCGCAAGUGACGGUAGGUGCAGAAGAAGGACCGGCCAACUACGUGCCAGCCGCCGCCGUAA